UGGGGAAUAUUGGGCAAUGGGCGCAAGCCUGACCCAGCGACGCCGCGUGAGGGAAGAAGGCCUUUGGGUCGUAAACCUCUGUUGUAUGGGAAGAAGGAAGUGACGGUACCAUACGAGGAAGUCCCGGCUAACUACGUGCCAGCAGCCGCGGUAAUACGUAGGGGACGAGCGUUGUCCGGAAUUACUGGGCGUAAAGGGCGCGCAGGCGGAUAUUUAAGUCAGCUGUAAAAGGCAUGAGCUCAACUCAUGUAUGCGGUUGAAACUGGGUAUCUAGAGUGCUGGAGAGGUAGGCGGAAUUCCCGGUGUAGCGGUGAAAUGCGUAGAUAUCGGGAAGAACACCAGUGGCGAAGGCGGCUUACUGGCCAGCAACUGACGCUGAGGCGCGAAAGCCAGGGGAGCGAACGG
rnacentral:rRNA from 1 species